rnacentral:rRNA from 1 species
GACGAACGCUGGCGGCGUUCCUAAUACAUGCAAGUCGAACGCAGUGGGGACGGGUGAGUAACACGUGGGUAACCUCCCAUCAGAGGGGAUAACACUUGGAAACAGGUGCUAAACCCAUACUGAUGGAUGGUCCCGCGGUGCAUUAGCUAGUUGGUGGGGUAACGGCUCACCAAGGCCACGAUGCAUAGCCGACCGUAGCGGGUGACCGGCCAAACGGGGACUGAGACCCGGCCAAGACUCCUCCGGGAGGCAGCAGGAGGGAAUCUUCGGCAAGGGACGAAAGUCGGACCGAGAAACGCCGCGUGAGGGAAGAAGGUUUUCGGAUCGUAACACUCUGUUGUUAGGGAAGCGGUAUCUAACCAGAAAGCCACGGCUAACUACGUGCCAGCAGCCGCGGUAAUUC